rnacentral:rRNA from 1 species
AUACAGAGGGUGCGAGCGUUAAUCGGAAUUACUGGGCGUAAAGCGCGCGUAGGCGGUCUAUUAAGUCAGAUGUGAAAUCCCAGGGCUCAACCUUGGAACUGCAUCUGAUACUGGUAGACUAGAGUUUUGGAGAGGGAAGUAGAAUUUCAGGUGUAGCGGUGAAAUGCAUAGAGAUCUGAAGGAAUACCAGUGGCGAAGGCGACUUCCUGGCCAAAAGCUGACGCUGAGGUGCGAAAGCGUGGGUAGCAAACGGGAUUAGAUACCCUAGUAGUCC